rnacentral:rRNA from 1 species
UGGGGAAUAUUGGACAAUGGGCGAAAGCCUGAUCCAGCCAUGCCGCGUGAGUGACGAAGGCCUUAGGGUUGUAAAGCUCUUUUGGCGGGGAAGAUAAUGACGGUACCCGCAGAAUAAGCUCCGGCUAACUUCGUGCCAGCAGCCGCGGUAAUACGAAGGGAGCUAGCGUUGUUCGGAAUCACUGGGCGUAAAGCGCACGUAGGCGGAUUGUUUAGUCAGGGGUGAAAUCCCGGAGCUCAACUUCGGAACUGCCUUUGAUACUGGCAAUCUCGAGUCCGAUAGAGGUGGGUGGAAUUCCUAGUGUAGAGGUGAAAUUCGUAGAUAUUAGGAAGAACACCGGUGGCGAAGGCGGCCCACUGGAUCGGUACUGACGCUGAGGUGCGAAAGCGUGGGGAGCAAACAGGAUUAGAUACCCACGUAGUCCCUGAGCGGGCUGGCAAGGCGCAU